ACGCUGGCGGUAGGCUUAACACAUGCAAGUCGUGCGAGAAAGUAUCUUCGGAUAUGAGUAGAGCGGCGGACGGGUGAGUAACGCGUAGGAAUCUACCUAGUAGAAGGGGAUAGCCCGGGGAAACUCGGAUUAAUACCGUAUACCUCCUUCGGGAGAAAGAAGGCCUCUCUUUCGAAGCUUUCGCUAUUAGAUGAGCCUGCGUAAGAUUAGCUUGUUGGUGAGGUAAAGGCUCACCAAGGCGACGAUCUUUAGCGGGUCUGAGAGGACGAUCCGCCACAUUGGGACUGAGACACGGCCCAGACUCCUACGGGAGGCAGCAGUGGGGAAUAUUGGACAAUGGGCGCAAGCCUGAUCCAGCCAUACCGCGUGUGUGAAGAAGGCCCUAGGGUUGUAAAGCACUUUAAGUUGGGAAGAAAAGUUAUUGGCUAAUACCUAAUAACCGUGACAUUACCAUCAGAAUAAGGACCGGCUAAUUCCGUGCCAGCAGCCGCGGUAAUACGGAAGGUCCAAGCGUUAAUCGGAAUUCCUGGGCGUAAAGCGCGCGUAGGUGGUUUAUUAAGUUGGA
rnacentral:rRNA from 1 species